GACGAACGCUGGCGGCGUGCCUAAUACAUGCAAGUAGAACGCAGUUGCGAACGGGUGAGUAACGCGUAGGUAACCUGCCCUCCUUUUUGGGAUAAGCCUUGGAAACGGGGUCUAAUACCGGAUAAAGGGGGAUGGGCUCGCGGCCUAUCAGCUGGUUGGUGGGGUGAUGGCCUAACAAGGCGGUGACGGGUAGCCGGCAUGAGAGGGUGGACGGGAACUGUGGGACGGACAGACGGCCCAGAGGACGACGGGGGGGGGAAGUGGGGGAUAUGGCACAAUGGGCGAAAGACUCAUGCAGCGAGGCGGAGUGGGGGAUGAAGGCUUUAGGGUUGUAAACCUCGGGAGGUAGCGAACGGGUAGGUGGAGAAGAAGCGCCGGCUAACUACGUGCCAGCAGCCGCGGUAAUUC
rnacentral:rRNA from 1 species